UUGGUGCGUGUAUCGCUUUUAGAAAAAUCUCGUGUGACCGAUACAAGAAGUGUGUCGUUUGGAUGUGACGCGCCAAAUUGUGUUUAUAAAGGAACAAACUGUCGACGUUGCAGAUUUGUUAAAUGGAGUUUUGCUGAUGUUGUUGGAUUUGGGAUUUUUGCUUGCCCUCACCUUGUUCCAUUGACUUCAUGGAUCGUUCCAAGAAGUUUUCCCCAGUCUGGAAUAAUUUUUAUCUUUUGAUGCCAAAUAAGGUGAAGUGUCGGCUCUGCUCCACACAGCUAUCUUACAUCAAUAAGAGCACUUCAUCAAUGCUGAGGCAUUAUAGAGCUCGGCAUGGCAAUGAAGAAUUGGCAGAUACACUCGUGUGAGUACCUCAGUUCCUAACAAGCAAGCAGUGGAUGGGGCUGUGGUCAACAUGGUUAUCAAAGACUGUCAGCCACUCACCAUUGUUGACAACGAAGGAUUCAAGGAGCUCCUGAAGCUUAUCAACUUGCAGUUACAUUUUUAUGCUCACCACCUUCAUCUGUACCCUGUGAAAUAGUUUUUUUCUAAGGCAGGGGAACGGGCGUCUAAGUGGAGAAAUCGCCUUGGAGCAGACUUUUGUUCCUCAAUAAA